GCCAGUAUUCUGGCGGGCAUGCCUGUUCGAGCGUCAUUUCAACCCUCAAGCUCAGCUUGGUGUUGGGACUCGCGGUAACCCGCGUUCCCCAAAUCGAUUGGCGGUCACGUCGAGCUUCCAUAGCGUAGUAAUCAUACACCUCGUUACUGGUAAUCGUCGCGGCCACGCGUAAAACCCCAACUUCUGAAUGUUGACCUCGGAUCAGGUAGGAAUACCCGCUGAACUUAAGCAUAUCAAUAAGCGGAGGAAAAGAAACCAACAGGGAUUGCCCUAGUAACGGCGAGUGAAGCGGCAACAGCUCAAAUUUGAAAUCUGGCUCUCGGGCCCGAGUUGUAAUUUGUAGAGGAUGCUUUUGAUGCGGUGCCUUCCGAGUUCCCUGGAACGGGACGCCAUAGAGGGUGAGAGCCCCGUCUGGUUGGAUGCCAAAUCUCUGUAAAGCUCCUUCGACGAGUCGAGUAGUUUGGGAAUGCUGCUCUAAAUGGGAGGUAUAUGUCUUCUAAAGCUAAAUACCGGCCAGAGACCGAUAGCGCACAAGUAGAGUGAUCGAAAGAUGAAAAGCACUUUGAAAAGAGAGUUAAAAAGUACGUGAAAUUGUUGAAAGGGAAGCGUUUAUGACCAGACUUGGGCUUGGUUAAUCAUCUGGGGUUCUCCCCAGUGCACUUUUCCAGUCCAGGCCAGCAUCAGUUUUCGCCGGGGGAUAAAGGCUUCGGGAAUGUGGCUCUCUCCGGGGAGUGUUAUAGCCCGUUGCGUAAUACCCUGGCGGGGACUGAGGUUCGCGCAUCUGCAAGG
rnacentral:sRNA from 1 species